AUUGAACGCUGGCGGCAGGCCUAACACAUGCAAGUCGAACGAGUGGCGGACGGGUGAGUAAUGUCUGGGAAACUGCCUGAUGGAGGGGGAUAACUACUGGAAACGGUAGCUAAUACCGCAUACCAUCGGAUGUGCCCAGAUGGGAUUAGCUAGUCGGUGGGGUAACGGCUCACCUAGGCGACGAUCCCGAGCUGGUCUGAGAGGAUGACCAGCCAUACUGGAACUGGGACACGGUCCAGAUUCCUACGGGAGGCAGCAGUGGGGAAUAUUGCCAAAUGGGCGCAAUCCUGAUGCAGCCAUGCCGGGGGUAUGAAGAAGGCCUUCGGGUUGUAAAGUACUUUCAGCGGGGAGGCGUUACCCGCAGAGGAAGCACCGGCUAACUCCGUGCCAGCAGCCGCGGUAAUUC
rnacentral:rRNA from 1 species